AUGCUUUCUCUCGUCUCCGCCUUACUUUCUUCAUUUAGAUUUGACUUCGUUCGUAGAUCACUCUUCCAUCUCCGAUCUUCUGGUUCAUACUCAACCUUUCUUGACCCGACGGAACUCAAACGAAUCUGGAGGAGCUCCGAGGGCUUUUCGACGGUGCCGGUAAUGAGAUGCUCAAGGUGUGCAUUUGAAGCUUGUUUGAUGAAGAUGUAA